GACGAAUGCUGGCUGCGUGCUUAACACAUGCAAGUCGAACGGUGAAAGGGAGCUUGCUCCCUGGAUCAGUGGCGAACGGGUGAGUAACACGUGGGCAACCUGCCCCUCACUCUGGGAUAACGCCGGGAAACCGGCGCUAAUACCGGAUACGACCAGGAGCGACACCUCGCCUGGUGGAAAGAAUUUCGGUGAGGGAUGGGCCCGCGGCCUAUCAGCUAGUUGGUGGGGUAACGGCCCACCAAGGCGACGACGGGUAGCCGGCCUGAGAGGGCGACCGGCCACACUGGGACUGAGACACGGCCCAGACUCCUACGGGAGGCAGCAGUGGGGAAUAUUGCGCAAUGGGCGAAAGCCUGACGCAGCGACGCAGCGUGAGGGACGAAGGCCUUCGGGUUGUAAACCUCUUUCAGCGGGGACGAAGCGAAAGUGACGGUACCCGCAGAAGAAGCACCGGCUAACUACGUGCCAGCAGCCGCAGUAAAAC
rnacentral:rRNA from 1 species